rnacentral:rRNA from 1 species
UUGAACGCUGGCGGCAGGCCUAACACAUGCCAGUCGAGCGGAUGAAGGGAGCUUGCUCCUGGAUUCAGCGGCGGACGGGUGAGUAAUGCCUAGGAAUCUGCCUGGUAGUGGGGGAUAACGUCCGGAAACGGGCGCUAAUACCGCAUACGUCCUGAGGGAGAAAGUGGGGGAUCUUCGGACCUCACGCUAUCAGAUGAGCCUAGGUCGGAUUAGCUAGUUGGUGGGGUAAAGGCCUACCAAGGCGACGCUCCGUAACUGGUCUGAGAGGAUGAUCAGUCACACUGGAACUGAGACACGGUCCAGACUCCUACGGGAGGCAGCAGUGGGGAAUAUUGGACAAUGGGCGAAAGCCUGAUCCAGCCAUGCCGCGUGUGUGAAGAAGGUCUUCGGAUUGUAAAGCACUUUAAGUUGGGAGGAAGGGCAGUAAGUUAAUACCUUGCUGUUUUGACGUUACCAACAGAAUAAGCACCGGCUAACUUCGUG